AAGACUAUACUUUCAGGAAUCAUUUCUAUAGUUUCUAACUUGAGAAAUGUGUUUCUAAAGUGAUUGGUCUUGCUAACCAUGAUGAAGAGGUAAUGAUACUUCUCCCUGAGCGUGAAUCGUACAUCAGUUAGUGAGUUUCUCACAUGACUGUUGUAAUUGGUGACCGUUCACUGAUCGGUGAAUGCCGAUAACGAUGGGAGGAGUAUGUUCAGAGUGGCA
ensembl:snoRNA